rnacentral:miRNA from 1 species
GACAGAGAGAGGGAGGGAAGGGGUGACUAGUGACAGAGUGAGGGAGGGAAGGGGUGACUAGUGACAGUCACCACCUCCUUCAUUCUGUCACUGUGUCACCCCCUCCCUCAUUCUGUCACUAGUCACCCCUUCCUUCUCUCAUUCUGC